UGAUGAAACUUCAUUCAACACAAAUCACCGUUCAUCUUCUCCUAUCCUUCCUUUAAGCUUGCCCUUCUCCUCUCUCUUUGAUUCGAGUUGAAAAUAGGGCAAGUGUGACUUCUCUGUCGUUUCUGCUUUGUCGCCACACGCGUCGCGCGAGCUCCUUUUGUCACUGCUCGCUUGCACGAGCUCCCUCCGCCGCCACUCGCUCGCAUGAGCUCCCUCCUUUGCUACUCGCGUUGCACGAGCUCCCUCUGUCGCCUCUCAGCUUAUGUCUCUCUCUGUCUUGUGCCAUCCAUCCUCGCCGUUCACAGCCUCGUCGAGUCAUCGUGUCACCAGAUCUGAAACCUACAUCUUGCUCUAGGUGCUGUAAAUUCAGAGGUUCUUCUUGGAAGGUGUUUGAUCUAAUGACUGAACUGAUUUCAUUAUCCUUAGCCCUAGCCUUGUCCCUUCCCUGUUGCUGCUGCAGAGAACUGAGUUUCUAAAUUCUAAGGUCAUAAACACACUAAAGAGGGAUCAAACAAACCACCAUGGCUUAACCUCACCCAUUCACAGGUGUGAGGGAGUGGAAUACAAAAACCAGCUUCUUACUGUUCUCAACAUGAACAAGGAGAAGGUGCACUUUUUGCCUUUGCCCCGAAAUUUAAAUUCUCUUGUUUUGCUGUUGCCCGUGAGAUGAACUGAAUGAAAAUCUUGGUGCAGGUUUAGCAUUUUCUACCACGAAAGAGAAAUUAGCUGAAGCCUUUUUAGAAUAUGGCAAUGUCCUAAAUGAUGGCAAGGCUGCUGCAGCAGAGAAGAAAAAUUCCAAGGAUGAAACAUCUUCGAAAGAUUCACAGGGGCUGCUGCAUGCCCCAUUUUCCACUUCUUUCUAAUUGUGGCACUUGAAAGUGCUUGGAAUUGGAACUAGCUGUGUGAGAUCUUGUAUUUCGCUGACAAGUUAGAGCCUAUGAUGCCACCUUAUGCAACACUUUAUUCACCUGGAGGGUUUAUACUCAUCCUGCUAUUCCUAUUGUAAGUCUAGCUACUUUCAUGCAAUUUAUUUCAUGGUUUAUGAAAAAUUAGAGCUUGUCUUGUUCAUU